rnacentral:rRNA from 1 species
UACGAAGGGGGCUAGCGUUGUUCGGAUUUACUGGGCGUAAAGCGCACGUAGGCGGAUCGUUAAGUCGGGGGUGAAAUCCUGGAGCUCAACUCCAGAACUGCCUUUGAUACUGGCAACCUUGAGUCCGGGAGAGGUGAGUGGAACUGCGAGUGUAGAGGUGAAAUUCGUAGAUAUUCGCAAGAACACCAGUGGCGAAGGCGGCUCACUGGCCCGAUACUGACGCUGAGGCACGAAAGCGUGGGGAGCAAACAGG